ACGCACGCUGGCGGCGUGCUUAACCCAUGCAAGUCGAACGUGAUUUUUGUGGAAAUUCUUUCGGGAAUGGAAAUGAAAUGAAAGUGGCGAACGGGUGAGUAACACGUGAGCAACCUACCUUACACAGGGGGAUAGCCGUUGGAAACGACGAUUAAUACCGCAUGAGACCACAGAAUCGCAUGAUAUAGGGGUCAAAGAUUUAUCGGUGUAAGAAGGGCUCGCGUCUGAUUAGCUAGUUGGAAGGGUAAAGGCCUACCAAGGCGACGAUCAGUAGCCGGUCUGAGAGGAUGAACGGCCACAUUGGAACUGAGACACGGUCCAAACUCCUACGGGAGGCAGCAGUGGGGAAUAUUGCACAAUGGGGGGAACCCUGAUGCAGCGACGCCGCGUGAGCGAAGAAGGUUUUCGAAUCGUAAAGCUCUGUCCUAUGAGAAGAUAAUGACGGUAUCAUAGGAGGAAGCCCCGGCUAAAUACGUG
rnacentral:rRNA from 1 species